CGUCAUUUCCCUUUAGCGUGAUAUGAAAAACAACGGUUACGCAGAAAGAAUUUUUUGAGGAAGGCGCAUGUUUCAAAUAAGAAAAAAGAUGCAGUUUAAAUCAAACGCAGAAAAAGCCGAGUACUAUAAAAAAAGAAAAAGAAAAAAAGAAAGAAAAAGAAAAUUAAAACAUUACCGAAACAAUAGUGACAAAAUUAACUCGUCAAAACGGGAAAACAGAUUAGGCAUCCCUAUUCCUGCAACAAGAGCUCGGUCAGAAUGAAUGAGAUGGAAAACACCGCAGACCUCAUAACAGAAGGAGACACUGUGGCCGUCGUUGCGGCGGAUGAAAAUGAUGAUAACUUCUUGUUAAAGGUAACUCGUACUCCAUACACAUUGCGAGCAGAGGGUACAGAUGACUGCGGUAAUACUUUCCCAAAAGGAGCACGUGUUGUAGGAGGGUAUUACUACAAAUCGACGGAGUCCGCCUUUAAGAUCGUAAGAGGGAAAAAGCCCUUGUGUAUUCGGUGGCGGUUUGUUACAUUUUGGACGAGAAAGACAAAAACGGAAGUAAAAGCGUAGAUGGGAACCUCCACCUUGACAUUCUGAACAGUUUGAACAUUUUAGAUGUUUGAUGAUAACAAUAAUUUUAAGACAGAACAAAACAUAAAUUUGAUUCAUUAAUGAUAAGUAUUUACGAGUUGUUCGUCAUCGCAUCCAAAACCAUUGGAAGCUUAUACCGUACUAUUUAACUACACUUAUAACUACUAAAAAUUGUAAUUAAUAAAUAACUUUAUCUGAGCCCAAACCAUUGUCACCUUCGAUUCAAAAUGUAUACUUUUUUGUUGCGGGAGUUAUUAUUAUACAUGCGUGGUGAGUUGAUAUAUAUCUGCUGUUUCUUGUGUUUAUAUGUGAAGAUGUGAAAUUUCAAAUUAUGUAACUGUCUAGAACUUUGUCGGUCCGUGUAAUGUACAUGUAUUAUUAAGUUGGGUGCAUUAUGUAUAUUAUGUUAUGUCAUGCCUUUCUUAUAAUUAUGUUGAUGUUAAUAAGCAACUUAAUUAAUGCUGUAUCAGUAUGUAGCCUCUUGUAGUUCUUCACAGGACACUGACAUUCUUUUCAUACCACAUAUGAUACUUUUAUGUGCAAAUUGUUAUAUUAACUUUGUAAAUUUGCACAAGACUGAAAUAAAUGGAUAAGUUGAUGUA